GGAGAGAGGAGUUACCGUGUCUGGGGGCCAGAAACAGAGGAUAGCUAUCGCCCGCGCUCUACUGAAAAUCCCAUCCAUCCUCAUACUAGACGAGGCUACCAGGUGUACGAGGCUGCUGGGCUGGCCAAUGCUGACAGUUACCAUUCUGGGGGAGAGAGGAGUUACCGUGUCUGGGGGCCAGAAACAGAGGAUAGCUAUCGCCUGCGCUCUACUGAAAAUCCCAUCCAUCCUCAUACUAGACGAGGCUACCAGGUGUACGAGGCUGCUGGGCUGGCCAAUGCUGACAGUUUUAUCCGACAG